rnacentral:rRNA from 1 species
AGUGAACGCUGGCGGCGUGCCUAAUACAUGCAAGUCGAACGGAGUGGCGCACGGGUGAGUAAUAUAUAGCUAAUCUGCCCCUUGCUGGAGGACAACAGUUAGAAAUGACUGCUAAUACUCCAUAGCAAGGGAUGAGACUAUAUCGUAUCAGCUAGUCGGUGGGGUAACGGCCUACCGAGGCUAUGACGCGUAACUGGUCUGAGAGGAUGAGCAGUAACAUUGGAACGGAGACACGGUUGAAGCUCCUUCGAGAGGGAGCAGUAGGGAAUAGUGCGCAAUGGGGGAAUCCCUGACGGAGCAACGGCGCGUGGAGUAUGACACUUUUCAGAGCGUAAACUCCUUUUGUUAGGGAAGCGGUACCUAACGAAUAAGCACCGGCUAACUCCGUGCCAGCAGCCGCGGUAAUAC